UACAGAGGGUGCAAGCGUUAAUCGGAAUUACUGGGCGUAAAGCGUGCGUAGGUGGUUUGCUAAGUCAGGUGUGAAAUCCCAGGGCUCAACCCUGGAACUGCAUUUGAUACUGGCAGGCUAGAGUGUGGUAGAGGAUAGUGGAAUUCCCGGUGUAGCGGUGAAAUGCGUAGAUAUCGGGAGGAACAUCAGUGGCGAAGGCGGCUAUCUGGACUAACACUGACACUGAGGCACGAAAGCGUGGGGAGCAAACAGG
rnacentral:rRNA from 1 species